rnacentral:rRNA from 1 species
GUCGAUGGCCAUACCACCCUGAACAAGCCUGAUCUUAUCUGAUCUCAGAAGCUAAGCAGGGCUCAUCCUCGUUAUUACUUGUGUGGGAGACAAAGGGGAAUAGUUAGUGAGCAGAGUUU